UACGAAGGGUCCCUAGCGUUGUUCGGAAUUACUGGGCGUAAAGGGCGCGUAGGCGGCUUAUUAAGUCAGGUGUGAAAGCCCCAAGCUUAACUUGGGAACUGCACUUGAUACUGGUAGGCUAGAGAUCGGAAGAGGUGAGUGGAAUUCCUAGUGUAGAGGUGAAAUUCGUAGAUAUUAGGAAGAACACCAGUGGCGAAGGCGGCUCACUGGUCCGAUACUGACGCUAAGGCGCGAAAGCGUGGGGAGCAAACAGGAUUAGAUACCCUGGUAGU
rnacentral:rRNA from 1 species